rnacentral:rRNA from 1 species
GCUUGCUAGGAGGCGUCGAGCGGCGGACGGGUGAGUAACGCAUAGGAAUCUGCCCGGUAGUGGGGGAUAACCUGGGGAAACCCAGGCUAAUACCGCAUACGUCCUACGGGAGAAAGCAGGGGAUCUUCGGACCUUGCGCUAUCGGAUGAGCCUAUGUCGGAUUAGCUGGUUGGUGAGGUAAUGGCUCACCAAGGCGACGAUCCGUAGCUGGUCUGAGAGGAUGAUCAGCCACAUCGGGACUGAGACACGGCCCGAACUCCUACGGGAGGCAGCAGUGGGGAAUAUUGGACAAUGGGCGCAAGCCUGAUCCAGCCAUGCCGCGUGUGUGAAGAAGGCCCUCGGGUUGUAAAGCACUUUCAGUGGGGAAGAAAUCCUCGGGGCUAAUACCCUCGAGGGAGGACAUCACCCACAGAAGAAGCACCGGCUAACUCCGUGCCAGCAGCCGCGGUAAUACGGAGGGUGCGAGCGUUAAUCGGAAUUACUGGGCGUAAAGCGCGCGUAGGCGGCCUGAUAAGCCGGUUGUGAAAGCCCCGGGCUCAACCUGGGAACGGCAUCCGGAACUGUCAGGCUAGAGUGCAGGAGAGGAAGUAGAAUUCCCGUGUGUAUCUGGUGAAAUGCGUAGAGAUCGGGAGGAAUACCAGUGGCGAAGUCGGCCUUCUGGACUGACACUGACGCUGAGGUGCGAAAGCGUGGGUAGCAAACAGGAUUAGAUACCCUGGUAGUCCACGCCGUAAACGAUGUCGACUAGCCGUUGGGGUCCUUGAGACCUUUGUGGCGCAGUUAACGCGAUAAGUCGACCGCCUGGGGAGUACGGCCGCAAGGUUAA